rnacentral:rRNA from 4 species
UUGACCUCGAAUCAGGUAGGGAUACCCGCUGAACUUAAGCAUAUCAAU